rnacentral:rRNA from 1 species
GGGGAAUAUUGCACAAUGGGCGCAAGCCUGAUGCAGCAACGCCGCGUGAAGGAAGAAGGUCUUCGGAUUGUAAACUUCUAUCAGUAGGGAAGAAAAAAAUGACGGUACCUAACUAAGAAGCUCCGGCUAACUACGUGCCAGCAGCCGCGGUAAUACGUAGGGAGCAAGCGUUAUCCGGAUUUACUGGGUGUAAAGGGUGCGUAGGCGGCUUGGUAAGUCUGAAGUGAAAUUUCGGGGCUCAACCCCGGAGCUGCUUCGGAAACUGCCGAGCUAGAGUGUGGGAGAGGAAAGUGGAACUUUGAGUGUAGCGGUGAAAUGCGUAGAGAUUCAAAGGAACACCAGUAGCGAAGGCGGCUUUCUGGACCAUAACUGACGCUGAGGCACGAAAGCGUGGGGAGCAAAC